CUACGGGCUGCUCCAGUGAGGAAUAUUGCACAAUGGGGGGAACCCUGAUGCAGCAACGCCGCGUGGAGGAUGACGCAUUUCGGUGUGUAAACUCCUUUUAUAUGUCAAGAAAAUGACGGUAGCAUAUGAAUAAGCACCGGCUAACUCCGUGCCAGCAGCCGCGGUAAUACGGAGGGUGCAAGCGUUACUCGGAAUCACUGGGCGUAAAGGACGCGUAGGCGGGUUGGAAAGUCAGGUGUGAAAUCCUACAGCUUAACUGUAGAACUGCACUUGAAACUUCUAAUCUAGGGUAUGGGAGGGGGAGAUGGAAUUAGUGGUGUAGGGGUAACAUCCGUAGAUAUCACUAGGAAUACCUAAAGCGAAGGCGAUCUCCUGGAACAUUACCGACGCUAAGGCGUGAAAGCGUGGGGAGCAAACAGGAUUAGAUACCCCUGUAGUC
rnacentral:rRNA from 1 species